UUUUUAACAUUUGUAUUUACAGUUGAAUAGAAUGUCGUGGACCAAGUGCAAACUACAUAACAGCUGUCAAUGAAACAGUCACUAUUAAUGGGCCGGACAGCAAUGCAAAUCAUCAUUAGUCUCUUCAUGAAAAAGAAGGAAACAAAGAAGAUGGCCAAAAAAAGACUUCGCCAAGCUCAGUUUACUUUACCGUAUGAAACAAUUUUACUGGAUGAAGAGCUGAUUUCAAAGAGAACAACGUUAUGACAAUUUCUCUGUGACAAACAAUGGACAAUUAAUUUUCUCCUAAGGAGGAUUCAGAUUCUAUUUAUGAUAUCAGUCAUACGUGUUGUCAACUGAUAUUUUAAUAUAUAUUUUAAUAUGGCUUUGAUAUGUCCCGAAAAACAUAUGCUGUGUUUUAAUUUAAUUACUAUUUAUUAUAUAUACUGUGUGAAAUUCUGGAAGUUGUUUAUUUAUAUGCCGGAUGGUAAAAAUUAUUUAAUAUUGAAGACUAUUAAAUGCU
rnacentral:lncRNA from 11 species